GCGCGGACGGGGGCGCUGACUACCCCUCACAGCCCGGGAGGCGAGGCUGACGUCAAGCCCAGGCCUGGGACCCGAGCCGCAGCUGCCAUUUAAAGAGGCCUUCAGAAUAUGGCACGUGUUUCACACUUACAGCCAUGAAGCAUCUCUCUAGACAAAGAGGAGGAAAAUCUCUAAAAAGAAGAAAGAAAAUAAUGUAGACUGUAUCAGUGGAAGAAUGUUUGUUCCCCUUCACAGCCAUCAUGGGCAAGUUUUGCUAUGCACGUUGUUCUUGUGAAAAGCAGACCAGCCCAAAAACAUAUGGCCUCCUGCAAGAAGUAAGAGGUUUGCUGCCAUAACAGGGUCAAAGAGCAGAUAGUACAAGAUGGGAAGGACCAUUUUCAGAUUCAACAAUUGGUGUAGAAUCUGGAGAAAGUUGGAAAGCAGAGUAUAAAAACUAGGUAACCCGCAAAUCUCACCCAUCGGUUUUAAGAAUUUAAUAACGCUGUGGAUGAAAAACGUUGCACAUGAAGUAUUUAGGAAACUUACAGUAUCAGUGUUUGAUGCAUUUGUUAUAUAGCAUAUUCUAGCAAUUUAGAUAUCUUACUAUAAUGUCAUAUGAAUUCUUGGUUAUAUUAUAAAUUAUAGAAGCAUUAUUAAAGGCUAGAGUUGAUAAAACUCUAUGUAUUAAUACUCAAAGUAAUGAAAUGUAUAGAUUAUGAUUCAGUACAUCUAAGCACUUAAUGCCUGGAAAAUAAAAAGUACUCAAUAUUUCUGAAUAAAGUUUUGUGUAAGCCAUUUUCACAUUA